GACGAACGCUGGCGGCGUGCCUAAUACAUGCAAGUUGAGCGCUGAAGGUUGGUACUUGUACCAACUGGAUGAGCAGCGAACGGGUGAGUAACGCGUGGGGAAUCUGCCUUUGAGCGGGGGACAACAUUUGGAAACGAAUGCUAAUACCGCAUAAAAACUUUAAACACAAGUUUCAAGUUUGAAAGAUGCAAUUGCAUCACUCAAAGAUGAUCCCGCGUUGUAUUAGCUAGUUGGUGAGGUAAAGGCUCACCAAGGCGAUGAUACAUAGCCGACCUGAGAGGGUGAUCGGCCACAUUGGGACUGAGACACGGCCCAAACUCCUACGGGAGGCAGCAGUAGGGAAUCUUCGGCAAUGGACGAAAGUCUGACCGAGCAACGCCGCGUGAGUGAAGAAGGUUUUCGGAUCGUAAAACUCUGUUGGUAGAGAAGAACGUUGGUGAGAGUGGAAAGCUCAUCAAGUGACGGUAACUACCCAGAAAGGGACGGCUAACUACGUG
rnacentral:rRNA from 1 species